AAUGAACGCUGGCGGCGCGCCUAAUACAUGCAAGUCGAGCGAGAAGACGUAGCAAUACGUUUGUAAAGCGGCGAACGGGUGAGGAAUACAUGGGUAACCUACCCUCGAGUGGGGAAUAACUAGCCGAAAGGUUAGCUAAUACCGCGUACGCUUCUUGGACUUCGGUUCAGGGAGGAAAGCGAUACCGUGGGUAUCGCGCUCUUGGAUGGGCUCAUGUCCUAUCAGCUUGUUGGUGAGGUAACGGCUCACCAAGGCUUCGACGGGUAGCUGGUCUGAGAGGACGAUCAGCCACACUGGCACUGCGACACGGGCCAGACUCCUACGGAGGCAGCAGUAAGGAAUAUUGCGCAAUGGGCGAAAGCCUGACGCAGCGACGCCGCGUGGGGGAGUGAAGGUCUUCGGA
rnacentral:rRNA from 1 species